UCUGUUCUGUUCUCUUCUGUUCUGUUGUGUUCUGUUCUGUUCUCUUCUCUUCUGUUCUGUUGUUCUGUUCAGGCUUACGUAUAAGUACAAGGGGUUGUUUAGUAGUCUGAAAAAGACAUUCAAGUGUAGUUUACUUUUCUCUUAACUGGCUCCUCUUUAAAGGGAGUGUUUAUCUCUCUUUACCACUGUGAGGGUUUGUGUUGUUUCCCAAAGCAAUAUUCUAGGUUUUACUCCCACCUUUAAGACUCACCAUGUUUUCCAUACCCACACUGUUUUCACAGCUUCAUAGCAUGAGCAAAGAUGAGUCACAUCCUGUCAACAGAAAGUUGAAACCCUGGCCACAUGGUAGAGGAGAUGGACUGUCUAGUUGAAACUCUGUCACAUGGUAGAGGAGAUGGACUGUCUAGUUGAAACCCUGUCACAUGGUAGAGGAGGUGGACUGUCUAGUUGAAACCCUGUCACAUGGUAGAGGAGGUGGACUGUCUAGUUGAAACCCUGUCACAUGGUAGAGGAGGUGGACUGUCUAGUUGAAACCCUGUCACAUGGUAGAGGAGGUGGACUGUCUAGUUGAAACCCUGUCACAUGGUAGAGGAGAUGGACUGUCUAGUUGAAACCCUGUCACAUGGUAGAGGAGAUGGACUGUCUAGUUGAAACCCUGUCACAUGGUAGAGGAGGUGGACUGUCUAGUUGAAACCCUGUCACAUGGUAGAGGAGGUGGACUGUCUAGUUGAAACCCUGUCACAUGGUAGAGGAGGUGGACUGUCUAGUUGAAACCCUGUCACAUGGUAGAGGAGAUGGACUGUCUAGUUGAAACCCUGUCACAUGGUAGAGGAGGUGGACAGUCUAGUUGACACCCUGUCACAUGGUAGAGGAGGUGGACAGUCUAGUUGAAACCCUGUCACAUGGUAGAGGAGAUGGACUGUCUAGUUGACACCCUGUCACAUGGUAGAGGAGGUGGACUGUCUAGUUGAAACCCUGUCACAUGGUAGAGGAGGUGGACUGUCUAGUUGAUCUAGUUGAUACCCUGUCACAUGGUAGAGGAGAUGGACUGUCUAGUUGAUCUAGUUGAUACCCUGUCACAUGGUAGAGGAGGUAAACUGUCUAGUUGAUCUAGUUGAAACCCUGUCACAUGGUAGAGGAGGUGGACUGUCUAGUUGAAACCCUGUCACAUGGUAGAGGAGGUGGACUGUCUAGUUGAAACCCUGUCACAUGGUAGAGGAGAUGGACUGUCUAGUUGAAACCCUGUCACCUGGUAGAGGAGGUGGACUGUCUAGUUGAAACCCUGUCACCUGGUAGAGGAGGUGGACUGUCUAGUUGAAACCCUGUCACCUGGUAGAGGAGGUGGACUGUCUAGUUGAAACCCUGGCCACAUGGUAGAGGAGGUGGACUGUCUAGUUGAAACCCUGUCACCUGGUAGAGGAGAUGGACUGUCUAGUUGAAACCCUGUCACAUGGUGGAGGAGAUGGACUGUCUAGUUGAAACCCUGUCACAUGGUAGAGGAGAUGGACUGUCUAGUUGAAACCCUGUCACAUGGUAGAGGAGGUGGACUGUCUAGUUGAAACCCUGUCACAUGGUAGAGGAGGUGGACUGUAUGUUGAAUGAUGAAAUAAGAGGCUCUGCGACGGCAGGAGUGGAACUCUUCUGUUUGCCUUGGCCGUGUCAGCUGCUGUGUGUGAGUCACAGUUUUAUAAUGUUAGUAGAAUCCUCUGCUGUUUGUGUUUCUUCACCUUCAUCCAGUCACUCACCACCUUGAUAUCCAGCCAGGGUUUUCACUCUCUCUCCUGUUCUCCAAGUCCAUCAGCCUUUUCAACUCUCCCACUUUACCUUAGUUAGAAGAGUUCUGGGCUGUUUCCCUUGAAUAAGAUGGUUUACAAUCAAUUUGUUAACUGUUAAAUUGGAUGUUCACAGAUGUGAUUUAAAGGAUGACACUUGUUAACACUUCCGUUGUGUAAA